CCUACGGGAGGCAGCAGUGGGGAAUAUUGGACAAUGGGCGCAAGCCUGAUCCAGCAAUGCCGCGUGAGUGAUGAAGGCCUUAGGGUUGUAAAGCUCUUUCGCACGCGACGAUGAUGACGGUAGCGUGAGAAGAAGCCCCGGCUAACUUCGUGCCAGCAGCCGCGGUAAUACGAAGGGGGCUAGCGUUGUUCGGAAUUACUGGGCGUAAAGGGCGCGUAGGCGGCCUGUUUAGUCAGAAGUGAAAGCCCCGGGCUCAACCUGGGAAUAGCUUUUGAUACUGGCAGGCUUGAGUUCCGGAGAGGAUGGUGGAAUUCCCAGUGUAGAGGUGAAAUUCGUAGAUAUUGGGAAGAACACCGGUGGCGAAGGCGGCCAUCUGGACGGACACUGACGCUGAGGCGCGAAAGCGUGGGGAGCAAACAGGAUUAGAUACCCUGGUAGUCCACGCCGUAAACGAUAGAAUGCUAGACGGUCGGGGUGCAUGCACUCGGUGUCGCCGCUACGCAUAAGACACUCCGUCCGUCGGGAGGUACGGCCGCGAAGUUAAACGUAACGAAAGUAAGUAGUAGUUCGNGUAGAGUUGCGACGACGACGACGAGGGAGGAGG
rnacentral:rRNA from 1 species